UACGGAGGGCGCGAGCGUUGUCCGGAAUCACUGGGCGUAAAGGGCGCGUAGGUGGCGCGGGCAGCCAACGGUGAAAGUUCGGGGCUCAACCCUGAAUCGGCCGUCGAUACUCCCGAGCUGGAGCACUGUAGAGGCUCAUGGAAUUCCGGGUGUAGCGGUGGAAUGCGUAGAUAUCGGAAGGAACACCAGUGGCGAAAGCGGCUUCCUGGUCCGACACCGACGUUCAGGCACGAAAGCGUGGGGAGCAAACAGG
rnacentral:rRNA from 1 species